AAUAAAUAUUAGAAAGGGUCCCCACUAGGAAACUUCCAGGAAAGCCCACAAGAAACCAUUUUGUUUUAAGGGGAUGAAAUACAUAUAUACACACAUCAUCAUCAUAAUCACAUUAUUAGAUAGAAAAACCAUACCAAAAAUUCAUUCACUAAAAAAAAAAAAAGGAGAUCAUCCACCAUCUUCUCCAAUUGAGAUUCCACAGACCACUUCAUCAUCAAUACACUAAACAAAAAAAGAAAACUACAUUAUCCUUUUCUUCUUGAUGAUACUCACCCUCAUGGUAACAAGCACACACACACAACACCAGGACAAGUCCGAUUGAGAGAGGGAGAGGUUGAAUAAAAAGAGAGGGAGCUGGAGAGAGAGAAAGUACAGAUCAGAGACGGGUGGUUAGAUUGUUUCUCUGGAGAAUAUCCGGAGAGACCCAUUUCAGUGAUUAUGUAGUCCGCCGGAUCUCCUUCAUCACCAAAAUCGGCGACCAGUAGCGUCAGUCAACACCUUCGUUCAAGAUUUCCUUUGGUCAUUUGAUUUGUUGAUCGAGGUCCAUGAAUUAGCUCGUGAUUUAGCUUUUGAUUGGUUUUCAAACCUAUUUCAGGGUUAAAUUCGACACCAAAUAGGAUUUUCUUCAAAGUUGGUUAAGUCGAGGUUCUGAAUCCACGAAGCUCCUCCGUUUGAUUGAAUAAAAGCGGCAUUAAGCAGAUAUAGACCUCCAUCAAGCUUCGUAAUCUUCCUCACCUUUGCAGUACAAAGAUGCUAGAAAACACAGAAAUCAAGGAAGAAAUUCUUCACUGAACAAUUCCAUUCCUUAGUCACUUGUGACACUGAUAGAAGACAACAUGUAAACUAUGGGAUAUGAUAGAAAUUUGUAAUGGUGUUUCCUUCUGAUGAGCAACUAGUUCCUACAUGAGUGACCAUUGUAGUAUCACCAUUUGGUAGAUACACUCUUUUUGUCUUUUGUAACUUUGUAAUAGUCUUGUUAAGUAACAGGUCUGAGUCACUAACCAUAUGAUUAGUGGCACCAGUAUCUAAAAUCCAUUUCUGUGAAUCAAAAGAAGCUAAAAAAGGAAUACCUGCAGUUGUUACA